rnacentral:rRNA from 1 species
UGCCCACUGAUAAAUAUUAAAGGGCUGCAGUAUUUUGACUGUACAAAGGUAGCAUAAUCAUUAGUCAUUUAAUUGAUGACUUGUAUGAAAGGUUGGAUGAAAUAUAAACUGUCUUUAAAGUAAAUUAUAGAAUUUAAUUUUUUAUUUAAAAAGUUAAAAUAAUUUAAAAAGACGAGAAGACCCUAUAGAGUUUUAUUUUAAUUAUAAAUUGUAAUUUUAUAUAAAUAAUUAAAAAUUUAAAUUUAUAUUGAAAUUUUAUUGGGGUGAUAGAAAAAUUAAAUAAACUUUUUUUUAAUUUAAAUACCAUAAAUAAGUGUAUUAUUGAUCCAGUUUUAUUGAUUAUAAGAAAUAAUUACCUUAGGGAUAACAGCGUAAUUUUUUUUUUUAGUUCAAAUAAGAAAAAAAGUUUGCGACCUCGAUGUUGGAUUAAGAUAAAAUUUAAAUGCAGAAGUUUAAAAGUUUUGA